UACGAAGGGGGCUAGCGUUGUUCGGAAUUACUGGGCGUAAAGGGCGCGUAGGCGGUCUGUUAAGUUGGAUGUGAAAACUCUGGGCUCAACCCAGAGCCUGCAUCCAAAACUGGCAGGCUAGAGUUCUGGAGGGGGUAGCGGAAUUCCUGGUGUAGCGGUGAAAUGCGCAGAUAUUAGGAGGAACACCAAUGGCGAAGGCAGCUCUCUGGUACGUGACUGACACUGAGACGCGAAAGCGUGGGGAGCGAACAGG
rnacentral:rRNA from 1 species